rnacentral:lncRNA from 1 species
UUGGUUUUGCAAGAUCCCCUCUACACCACGCAAUGCAGCGGUUGGCAUAUUCUUGCAAAACGUCUAUAAGAGCGCACGGCUCCACUGCGGUAUAAUGUAUCCCAACCCGUUUGAUAGAAAACAUUCUACGAUACGCCAAGUUUUGGAUAGAUUUUUCAAAGACUCGAGCAGAGUUCGAAGGAAAAAUGUCUUGUCCAGGAAGGAUAGUAACACUUCGUCGUGUUCUACAACAUCUUCGAAUUCGGAAAGGAAGUUUUUCGGUUUCGGUGUGCGCAGUUGAACUCAGUGGUUGAUUUGAGUGUUGUUUGUAUGCAGUCUGCUAGUCACUGCUUGUUCUUCACUACUUGUUACUUUGGUAUGUGAAACGGCGAUUUGGACUGAAAAUAUAUAAAUAAAACCACUUAAAGGGCAAGAUAAUUAUGUAUACUCUAUGAAAAAUAAUUUCGUAUUGUGAUAAUUUUAGUAAAAUGUAAUAUAUUAUAAGGGAGAUGUACCUUUAUUUAAGUAGAAAUAAAUACUGUUUUUAAAGAAUAUUAUCAAAGAUUAUGUAAUUCUUAAUGGUACAACUUACAUGUAUAAAUAUAGAGAUUUAACGAAUAAAUUGGUUAUGAAAAUUAAAAAAGAGGUUUAUCUACACAACAAACAAAUUGGGAAUACAUAAUGUAGAUUAAAUUAAACAUAAACAAAUGAAUUUUAAAAUUUGAAUUUGUUGACUGUUGUACAGGGUAUAAUAAUGCAAAUAAAAUUCUUCACGAGGGAAAUCUCUGGCACAGAUUAUUAAAGUAUAUAUUCCAAUUAUGUUAUGUAAAUAUAAUAAUAACAACUAUUGUUAACGUACAAUAUUGUAUAGAUAUUUGAUUAAACUAAUGGUCCAUCCGUGAUCGAAAGCGACCUUCGAAUCAAACAAUUUAUAAAAAAUACAUACAUUUUACAUAUUCUGUAGUCUUAUACGUAUAUAAACAAUAAGUAUGCCAAAUUUCGCACUCCUCCGAGCGCGCAAUCUGCUUAAAAAUUAACUAAUUAAUAUAAGCAAAAAUUUUUUACAUUACACCUGAUCGAAUAAGUAUAAGUUUUGUUAGUUUCCUACAACCUUGAUGUUAAGAUAGCAGUACCAGCUUAUUUUAAACGGCUUGAGCUAAAAAAUCGUUAUUGUCGUAAAUAAUUUGGUACAAAUUAUAAAAUGUAUUUGUUUUAAUUCUAAGUUGCUACUGCUACCUUGAUAGAGCUUAGGUUAUGAACUACCAGAUAUUUUAAUACCACAAUGAAGUUAAUGGAUAGUGUCUAAAAUCUAAAAAGGUCAUGAUUUUGAAAAUAUGGUUUACAGAACAUAUAGUUAGAAAAUCGCCAAAGGCUUUAGAAGCCUUCACAUAAAGUGGCGUAAUUAUUAGAAACGUGAGUAUUCCGAACAAAAUUUUCCAGUUGUGGCAUUUUUAGCAUGUUUGUAUUUUUGUGUGAAAAAGAAUAAUUAAAUGGCAAUAAUUUAAGUGCUUGCAUUCAUAUAUUUAUUGUGAUUUUUCAUAAUUUACUAUGUAAUACCUUCAUCAUCAGGAAGAAAAACGAAACGUCAAUAAAAGAUAUUACAAUUUUGUUAGGGAAACCUGUCAGCUACUUCAAAUACAAGGACAGAGGCAUAAUAAAGAAGA